CCGAUUUUCACGGUCAAGGGUCGUCGGUAAGUCCUCUCUUAAUUUCAUGCUUUUUCUGUUGAUUUUCAUUUGGUUGACUGGUUCUUUCGAAGAACAUACUACAACCGAAAUAACAUUCUCUGGUUUAUAAAAUGCUCCUCCUAACGUGUAAAAUACUAAUGUACUUUGAGUAUUCCUUAUUUUGUCUGCACGGUUUCAAUUGGAACAUCUCGAGGUCUUGUAUCUGCAAUGACAAUGAGGCACAUAGAACAUUCGACUUUCUAACAUCACCAGGAUUCGUUGAAGCUCUUGUACUUGAGUCGUCACAGCUAUUGCUGCUUAAUUGCUGUUAUGUGGUGGGAAUUUGGGUAAAGUGUUUCAUUUUCAGAGUUGCAGCAGGCAUAUUGGCAUGGCUGACUAUGUUAUGCUGUGAGUCUUUUAAAUUUGUGUGUUUUUGUAUGGAAUUGAAAAUGGAUUAACGAAUAAUUUAGGCAAUCUAAUAUGAUGUAUUGAUACAGGAAGAUAUUCCUUUUUUCCCCUUUUCUUUUGGGGUAAUUGGAAGAGAUGAUUCUUUCCAGUGCAUUAAAUUAUUUUCAAUCAUACAUUUUUCCAAUUAAGAGAUGAAAAAUGAAAACCAACGGAGAAUUCAGCUUAAGUGUGGUUUUUUCAACUUUGUUGGCUGCAGAAAAGGAAGAAGCCAAGGUUGUCCUAACCUUGUUCUUGAAGAAACAGGGAUUAAGUAAUGUAGUAAGGGGAAGGGCUGUUUGAGGGCUUGGACUGGUAAAGCUUAGCCAAUUAAUCUUAUAGAUAUGAUACCCUUUUUUGUGUAUUAUUUCUUCGUACUUCUUUGAACCUGUACUUUUACUUUCCAACCUCUUCUUAUAAUGGUGAUCCGACUGACAUCUUCUGUCUGAUAACUUCAUACCCUGAUCCGGCUUUUGCUUAUAUAAACAUGUGUGUGUAUAUAUCUAUGUGGGUGGGUGUGUACAUUUGUAUAAAGGUUGAACCCCAACUUUGAAGGCCCCCACCGUCCCACCCCUAAAGUUUUGUGAUGGAGGUAAAUCGCGAGAUGUGCUCCAACAAGUCAG
rnacentral:lncRNA from 1 species